AAGCAAACACAGAAGCUUCUUCUUGUUUCCUCUUCUAAAAUUUUUCUUCUGUGGUCUGCCCUACAUGCAUAUUACUCAGUUAUGCAGACAGAUCUUCUAGCAAAAAUACUUGUACAUCCAUCAAUAUGAGCCUUUCUUCUUGUUCUUUAUCUCUGUGCACAUGCAUCGUCCAGUCCCUAAGAGUUUCUUCUAGUUCCUCUUUGUCAUCCUUGGUGUGGAAGUUUGUUCUUUUCCCUUUUCCCUUCUCCACCUUGGUAGACCCGAUGCUGUUCUUCACAUUGUUAUUCCCUACAGUGCGGAAUGCUCAAACUUUUCUUUCCAUUCCUGAUAUUCCCCUUCCGAACCUAAGCAAAAAUUUGCUGUUGGUACUUCUGAAGGAGCAGCACAGCAGGAGUACCAGUAUAGACAGGCACAGGUUUGGUUCCUUUGGCUUGCUCCUUGCUGGGCCAAGUGUCAACAAUGAUGCUUGUUGCUGAAGUCCUGGCUGUAGUAGUACCUCUGCUGGUGGAGAUGCCUUGGAGGAAUGCUGAGCCACGGCUAAAGGGGGAAGAAAAGAUCUCUAUAUCCACCAUCCUGAUAUGUUUCCUUCAAAAGGUCAAAACAUGGUCGUCAGGGAAAAUGGGAUGGUUGCCAAAACUUCAGUGUGUGAUAGGUGCCAUAUUGCAUUAUUCUCCGAAUGGUGGAAUACAGUUUGGGAUUCUUCAGGGGUGGCUAACACAGUACAAACUGUACCAUACAGCUGCUGAAUGUCUUAACCAUUUGGAUUCAAACAUAACUUCUGGAAGAAGUGGAGGAGCCUCUUGCCAAAAUUUGAGGAUAUUGUGUAAAAUGCUGCUGAGACCCAUUUGGAUUAUACUGCCAUCUGACAUCAAGGUUCUGCAGCUAAUGAAAGGCUUGAGUCACAGAGCAACGUGA
rnacentral:lncRNA from 14 species